GGCGGGCACCGCUAUUGGAGUUCGCUUAAGACAUGCGAGUCGCGAGGGGAAAGCCCUCGGCGUACGGCUCAGUAACACGCGGAUAACCUACCCUCGGGUGGGGGAUAACCUCGGGAAACUGAGGAUAAUACCCCAUAGGCCUCGGGCACUGGAAGGUCCCUUGGCCGAAAGCCCCGGCGCCCGAGGAUGGGUCUGCGGCCUAUCAGGGUCGUAGGGGGUGUAACGUACCCCCUAGCCUGCGACGGGUACGGGCUUUGGGAGAAGUCGCCCGGAGAUGGACUCUGAGACACGAGUCCAGGCCCUACGGGGCGCAGCAGGCGCGAUG
rnacentral:rRNA from 1 species